rnacentral:misc_RNA from 1 species
AACUCUCAACCCCCCUGUUUUGUAAUGAAGCAGGCGUGGGCUUGGAUUAUGGCUGCUGCCGGCGUAAUUGUCGACUCGGCUGAAAUACACGAGCUACCCAUUUCAUAAGAAAUAGACGGUUUGACUCGGCGUAAUAACAUAUUUCGCUGAGGACGUCACAUUCUUUACCUAGUGGUGCUUCUAAUGCGACAUCUAAACUUUAAGC